rnacentral:rRNA from 1 species
GCUUACCAUGCAGUCGAACGAUGAACCACUUCGGUGGGGAUUAGUGGCGAACGGGUGAGUAACACGUGGGCAAUCUGCCCUUCACUCUGGGACAAGCCCUGGAAACGGGGUCUAAUACCGGAUACGACACUCUCGGGCAUCCGAUGAGUGUGGAAAGCUCCGGCGGUGAAGGAUGAGCCCGCGGCCUAUCAGCUUGUUGGUGAGGUAACGGCUCACCAAGGCGACGACGGGUAGCCGGCCUGAGAGGGCGACCGGCCACACUGGGACUGAGACACGGCCCAGACUCCUACGGGAGGCAGCAGUGGGGAAUAUUGCACAAUGGGCGAAAGCCUGAUGCAGCGACGCCGCGUGAGGGAUGACGGCCUUCGGGUUGUAAACCUCUUUCAGCAGGGAAGAAGCGAAAGUGACGGUACCUGCAGAAGAAGCGCCGGCUAACUACGUGCCAGCAGCCGCGGUAAUACGUAGGGCGCGAGCGUUGUCCGGAAUUAUUGGGCGUAAAGAGCUCGUAGGCGGUCUGUCGCGUCGGAUGUGAAAGCCCGGGGCUUAACCCCGGGUCUGCAUUCGAUACGGGCAGACUAGAGUGUGGUAGGGGAGAUCGGAAUUCCUGGUGUAGCGGUGAAAUGCGCAGAUAUCAGGAGGAACACCGGUGGCGAAGGCGGAUCUCUGGGCCAUUACUGACGCUGAGGAGCGAAAGCGUGGGGAGCGAACAGGAUUAGAUACCCUGGUAGUCCACGCCGUAAACGGUGGGAACUAGGUGUUGGCGACAUUCCACGU